rnacentral:rRNA from 1 species
GAAACGGGUGGUAAUGCAGGAUGCUGGGGGGGCAUUGCAUGGUGUGUCGGGAAAGCCUUUGCGGCAUGGGAUGGGGUCGCGUCCUAUCAGCUUGAUGGCGGGGUAACGGCCCACCAUGGCUUCGACGGGUAGCCGGCCUGAGAGGGCGACCGGCCACAUUGGGACUGAGAUACGGCCCAGACUCCUACGGGAGGCAGCAGUGGGGAAUAUUGCACAAUGGGCGCAAGCCUGAUGCAGCGACGCCGCGUGAGGGAUGGAGGCCUUCGGGUUGUAAACCUCUUUUGUUAGGGAGCAAGGCAUUUUGUGUUGAGUGUACCUUUCGAAUAAGCACCGGCUAACUACGUGCCAGCAGCCGCGGUAAUACGUAGGGUGCAAGCGUUAUCCGGAAUUAUUGGGCGUAAAGGGCUCGUAGGCGGUUCGUCGCGUCCGGUGUGAAAGUCCAUCGCUUAACGGUGGAUCCGCGCCGGGUACGGGCGGGCUUGAGUGCGGUAGGGGAGACUGGAAUUCCCGGUGUAACGGUGGAAUGUGUAGAUAUC